rnacentral:rRNA from 1 species
AGAGUUUGAUCCUGGCUCAGAUUGAACGCUGGCGGCAUGCCUUACACAUGCAAGUCGAACGGUAGAGGGGCAACCCUUGAGAGUGGCGAACGGGUGAGUAAUGCAUCGGAACGUGCCCAGUCGUGGGGGAUAACGCAGCGAAAGCUGUGCUAAUACCGCAUGUGAUCUGUGGAUGAAAGCGGGGGACUUGGUAGCAAUACUGAGCCUCGCGCGAUUGGAGCGGCCGAUGUCAGAUUAGCUAGUUGGUAGGGUAAAAGCCUACCAAGGCGACGAUCUGUAGCUGGUCUGAGAGGACGACCAGCCACACUGGGACUGAGACACGGCCCAGACUCCUACGGGAGGCAGCAGUGGGGAAUUUUGGACAAUGGGCGCAAGCCUGAUCCAGCAAUGCCGCGUGCAGGACGAAGGCCUUCGGGUUGUAAACUGCUUUUGUACGGAGCGAAACGGUCUGGGUUAAUACCCUAGGCUAAUGACGGUACCGUAAGAAUAAGCACCGGCUAACUACGUGCCAGCCGCCGCGGUAAUAC